GACGAACGCUGGCGGCGUGCCUAAUACAUGCAAGUAGAACGCUGAAGGAGGAGCUUGCUCUUCUGGAUGAGUUGCGAACGGGUGAGUAACGCGUAGGUAACCUGCCUGGUAGCGGGGGAUAACUAUUGGAAACGAUAGCUAAUACCGCAUAACAUUGACUAUUGCAUGAUAGUCAAUUGAAAGGUGCAAAUGCACCACUACCAGAUGGACCUGCGUUGUAUUAGCUAGUUGGUGGGGUAACGGCUCACCAAGGCGACGAUACAUAGCCGACCUGAGAGGGUGAUCGGCCACACUGGGACUGAGACACGGCCCAGACUCCUACGGGAGGCAGCAGUAGGGAAUCUUCGGCAAUGGGACGGGAAAGUCUGACCGAGCAAACGCCCGCGUGAGUGAAAGAAAGGUUUUUCGGAUUCGUAAAAGCUUCUGUUGUAAAG
rnacentral:rRNA from 1 species